AUGGAAUCCAGGAGAGGAAAGACAGCUUCCAUGAAGGUGGAAGGGGACCCCAGAGGAGAAAUCCAGGAGGGGAAAGAGAGCUCCCACUAUGCGCGCGAGCUGCGGGUGUUGCUGCCGUGGGGCCGUCGACUACGGCCUCUGCUGUGGGCGCCGGCGCUGGCGACCGCCCCGGGAGGAAAACCAAUUCUGUGUCCACGGAGGACCACAGCCCAGUUCUGUCCCAGACGAAACACGGCCUGGAGUUUCCAGGCAGGACAGCCAUUCAGCACGCAGACCAACGAGGACAAGGAGGAACCCCUGCACUUGAUCUUCAGCAGCACAGAGCGCGUGCAGGGUUCUACUUCCAAACAUGAGUUCCAGGCCGAGACAGAAGCUUUUGGACAUCGUUGCCCGGUCCUUGCACUCAGAAAAAGAGGUGUUUAUAUGGUAGCUGGUCUCCAGUGCCAGCCAUGACUUGGAAAAACUGCGUCACAAACUGGUGUCUGAUGGCCAGGCACUGCCAGAAAUGGAGAUUCACUUGCAGACAGAUGCCGAGAAAGGCACCAUCACCGUCCAGGAUACUGGCUUCGGGAUGACACAGGAAGAGCUGGUGUCCAACUUGGGACGAUCGCCAGACCGGGGUCAAAGGCAUUCUUAGAUGCUCUGCAGAACCAGGCUGAGGCCAGCAGCAAGAUCAUUGGCCAGUUUGGAGUGGGUUUCUACUCGACCUUCAUGGUGGCUGGCAGAGUGGAGGUCUAUUCCCGCUCGGCAUCCCCGGGGAGCCCAGGUUACCAGUGGCUUUCAGACGGCUCCAGAGUGUGUGAAAUUGCGGAAGCUUCGGGAGUUAGAACUGGGACGAAAAUCAUCAUCCACCUGAAAUCCGACUGCAGGGAGUUUGCCAGUGAGGCCCAGGUGCGGGAUGUGGUGACGAAGUACAGCAACUUCGUCAGCUUCCCCUUGUACCUGAAUGGAAGGCGGAUGAACACCUUGCAGGCCAUCUGGAUGAUGGACCCCAAGGACAUCGGCGAGUGGCAGCAUGAAGAGUUCUACCGUUACAUUGCGCAGGCCUAUGAGAAGCCCUGCUACACCCUGCACUAUAAGAUGGUUGCGCCGCUCAACAACCGCAGCAUCUUCAACGUGCCGGACACGAAACCGUCCGCGUUUGACGUGAGCCGGGAGUUGGGCUCCGGCGUCGCACUGUACAGCCUCAAAGUCCUUAUCCAGACCAAGGCCACAGACAUUCUGCCCAAGUGGCUGUGCUUCAUCCGAGGUGUGGUGGACAGUGAGGACAUUUCCCUGAGCCUCAGCUGGGAGCUGCUGCAGGAGAGUGCACUCAUUAGAAAACUCCAGGAUGUUUUACAGCAGAGGCUGAUCAAAUUCCUCGUUGACCAGAGUAAAAAAGACGCUGAGAAAUAUGCAAAGUUUUUUGAAGAUUACGGCCUGUUCAUGCGGGAGGGCAUUGUGACCACGGCCGAGCAGGAGGUCAAGGAGGACAUAGCAAAGCUGCUGUGCUACUAGUCCUCCGCGCUGCCGGCUGGGCAGCUAACCAGCCUCUUGGAAUAUGCCAACGGCAUGCGGGCUGGCACCCGCGACAUCUAUUACUUGUGUGCCUCCAACCGGCACCUGGCAGAGCACUCGGCCUACUACAAGGCCAUAAAGCAGAAAGACACAGAGGUUCUCUUCUGCUAUGAGCAGUGAUGAGCUCACCCUGCUGCACCUUCGUGAGUUUGACAAGAAGAAGCUGAUCUCCGUGGAGACAGACAUCAUUGUGGAUCACUACAAGGAGUGGAAGUUUAAGGACGGGUCCCCAGCUGCUGAGCGCCUGUCAGAGAAGGAGACAGAAGACCUCAUGGCCUGAAUGAGAAACGUGCUGGGGUCGCGUGUCACCAACGUGAAGGUGACCCUCUGACUGGACACCCACCCCACCAUGGACACCGUGCUGGAGAUGGGGGCCGCCCGUCACUUCUGCACAUGUAGCAGCUGGCCAAGACCCAGGCGGAGCGAGCACAGCUCCUGCAGCCGGUGCUGGAGGUCAACCCCAGGAAUGCACUCAUGAAGCUGAAUCAGCUGCAGGUGAGCGAGCCUGGCCUGGCCCAGGCUGGUGGAUCAGAUAUACGAGAAUGCAGUGAUAGCCGCUGGGCUCGUUGAUGACCCCAGGGCCGUGGUGGGCUGCCUGAAUGAGCUGCUUGUCCAGGCCCUGGAGCCACACUGACAACCAGAGGCC